CGCUCUCCGACUCCAUGUGACACUGAAUGUAAGGUGCAUCCAUAUUCCCAUAAAUUCUCAAAUUUGGUCACUUUUACUUUGGGGAAAAGCCAGAAGUUGCAUGGUUCCAGAUCCAGUGGAGCGGAUGAGGACACUGCCCUGUUUUCAUACGGCUGCCUCGCGGUCGGAUGGCACCAGCAGCAGCAUUCAUCAUAUUUUUUAUCACACCUUGUAAAGACCCAAAAGGCCAGUUCCAGAACUGCUUCAGAAAUUGACGAGAAUGAUGGGAUAAGGGCGCUUGAAGCACAGAGGAGUAUUUUCAGGGGGUGAAUGGCAGUGUGUCUUUUACUGUAACACAUUUUUUAAAUUUAAGCAUGCAUUGCAUAUUUUUAUCACAUCUCCUAAGCAGAGAAAAAUUUAAAUGAGCACUGAAUACAUGCCAGUGUAAUUUUAAUAUAGUAUCUUCAAAUGAAUGUCUUCCAUAAUCUAUUAUAAUUUGUGGUUAAGUCAUUCAAGCACUCUAUAAUUUUAACUGUUUAAUGAUAAUGAAACAACAGGAUUCUUUCAUUUAAUAAAAUUCAGAACUUUAUGUGAAUUUUAGAUGAUGAUUGGUGUUCCCC
rnacentral:lncRNA from 1 species